rnacentral:lncRNA from 1 species
GAGGGUUGUCUGGGAUUUUAGAAUGGCCAAUUAAACAGCUGGGGGGGGGGGGGGAGUUUAUUUAUGACCAUGCAUGAAAGCAGGAUGAUGGUCUCCCAGAAAAUGAGCAUCAGCUGUCAGUAGCUGGCAAAAUCAAGAAGCAUUUCAACACAGGCCCCAAGCCGAGCAGCACUGCAGCAGGAGUUUCUGUAAUAGCAACCACCGCUCUUGAUAAGGAGAGGCAGGUUUUCCGACGAAGACGCAACCAGGAUGUGAGGAGCCGGUACAAGGCGCAGCCAGCUCCACCGGAAUUGAACUCGGAAUCGGAGGACUACUCCCCCAGCUCCUCUGAGACUGUUCGCUCCCCCAAUUCGCCCUUUUAAUAAGACCCUUUUACUCG